GAAUCCCUUUUUCUUGGGUGGAAUUCAUUGUGUGAGGUCGUCCCAUCUCUUACGGAUUCCAUGAAGAGCUUCAUGAGAGAAAGAGAUUAAUUUUACUUUGACAUCAUUACUUCAAUUUAAUUGAGAUUCACUUGGGGAAGCUUCACAACAGUCCAGUGUCUGGGCCCAUGACAAGAAACUUCAGGGGUGCGAGUUGGGAACAAAUAUUUUUCAAAACUCCCCAGAUGACGCUAAGUGAAGCUGGAGUGGAAAAUCACUGGUCUUACUUCAAGAGAAGCCUUCCUUGACCCCCGCUCUGAGAAGGCCCCAUAGCUGUUCUCCAUCUUAGGAAUGAUCACUGUCUGUGAUGAUUGGUUAUUUCCCUGUUUUAAGCGUGUCUUGCCCACCUGGAAGGAAGCGCCAUGAUAGAAGGAACCUUGUCUGUUUUGCUCUCGUUGGGUUCCCAAUGCCUCUUACAGGAUCUGGACUGUGGAAGUUUCUCAGUAAAUAUCUGUGAAAUUAGGGCAACCAACCAUUCCAAUUUGCCUGCAACUGAAGAUCUGCCCAAGACUUAUGGUUUUCAGUGCUAAAACCAGCACAGUCCCAAGAAAAUGGGCAUGGUUGGUCACCCUACAUGCAAUGCAUAGAUGUUGAAUAAGAAAUUAGUCCCAGACCUUCCAUUAUUGAAGUUGAAUGUCAGGUCUCAUUAAACCAGACCCAGAGCAGAGGUGUCACUAUGCUAUGAUGCGAUUACUUGUAGCCACUGCCUCCAGUGUGGCCACGGCUUAGGGAAAAGUGAAAGAAGCUUCCCAGGGACUCUCAAAUGUCAUAAUCACUAUAAUAAUGUGCACAUUGAACUCCAGGGAAAGGAUAUGCCCAUAAUCAUAAUGUUAGUGGGGUUGGGUCAAGUCUUUCACUCACUUCUGAUCCUCUUGAAGCCUCUUGGCUAGCUGCUAUCUAGAUGGAACUAGCCUAAAAACCAAUAAUUAAAAACUUAAUAUGAAGGAGCAUUUGACAGCUAGAAAACACCUCUGAAAUCAUCUCAUCCAAUUCCCUCAUUUUACAGGUGAAGAAACUCUGAAUCUGAGUGUUAAGUUCUUUAGCGGAGAGCCAAGCUUUAUAGGAUUCUUUUUCUUUGUUCUCAUGCUAACGAGAGUCCUUUUGAAAUAUUGGUCACUGCUCUUGCUCUCUAGGUGAGAAAAUGUGUCCCUUCCACUGUUUGCUUUCAACUAGCUGUCCUGUUUUGCAUUUCUUUCCUCAUUUUAUGUGCUCUGGAACAGCUUCUGCUAGCCCUUUUGGCAAACGACUUUUUUCAAUAUACUGGUUGUUUCUCCUCAAAAGAAUUCCUGUUUAACAGGUUCAAAUAUUCCCUCUUCCUUGAAGCAUGGGUUGAUUACUCUGAGAUUUGGAGUGAAAAUUUUUCAGCACUAUGUGGUUUGAAGAAGAAAGAAAGAAAGAAAGAAAGAAA